rnacentral:rRNA from 1 species
GACGAACGCUGGCGGCGUGCUUAACACAUGCAAGUCGAACGGAAAGGCCCUGCUUUUGUGGGGUGCUCGAGUGGCGAACGGGUGAGUAACACGUGAGUAACCUGCCCUUGACUUUGGGAUAACUUCGGGAAACUGGGGCUAAUACCGGAUAGGAGCUGCUGCUGGAGGGUGGGGGGUGGAAAUUUUCGGCGGUCGGGGAUGGACUCGCGGCUGAUCGGCUUGUUGGUGGGGUAGUGGCUUACCAAGGCAUUGACGGGUAGCCGGCAUGAGAGGGUGACCGGCCACAUUGGGACUGAGAUACGGACCAGAGUCCUACGGGAGGCAGCAGUGGGGAAUAUUGCACAAUGGGAGGAAGCCUGAUGCAGCAACGCCGCGGGCGGGAUGACGGCCUGCGGGUUGUAAACAGCUUUCGCCUGUGACGCAGCGUGAGUGACGGUAAUGGAUAAAGAAGCACCGGCUAACUACGUG